rnacentral:lncRNA from 1 species
GGGUCCUCUUUAAUGAAACUGUGUUAUUUUACUGUUUACAAUGUUUAAACGUAUACCUUGUUGAGGUGAAUAUGAAUAACAUCGGCUGAUAUAUCUGCGCAGUAAAGCGAGUACGGUCGUUGUUAAAUGUACAACGUGUGACAUUAAUUGCUUUGAGUAUUACCAUUGCUUCCAUUUUUUCAACCUUUAUAUAUUUGAAAGGAGAUGAGGAAAUCGGUGAAGCUUCGAUGCUUUCUGUUUGUCUUUGGUCUGUCAUGUUUGAGUUAUUCUUUUUUAUUCACCCGAUUAAAAUGGAACUGCGACGAAGCUUUAAAUGACUGGCAGCAUGUAAACUCUACAGAUUAUUUGCUAAAUCGAUUACUUAAUGAGUGUGGAGACAACAUGUUUAACUUUAAAUAUGUACAGAAAAAAAUAAGACAAUAUUCAAUGUCCUCAAACACGGAAGUUUUUAACUGUAUCAAGGUCUCUCACUGCGCUUGCUAGCUAUCCAGGUUCCGGAAAUACUUGGACAAGGGAACUCAUUGAGACUGUAACAGGACUACACACAGGCAGUGUAUAUAAUGACUGGAACUUUGCUGGAUCCAGAGAAUGCCCAACCCGUGGAAAAGUAUUUAUAAUAAAAACACACGCUAAAAACAAUUUGACUGGCCAUAGAGACUGUGCGAAAAUGGGUGUGAAGAAUUUAAACUACUCACAAGCAAUAUACAUACUGAGAAAUCCUUUUGAUGCACUGGUUGCAGAAUUUAAUCGCCAGAAUGCAAGGAGUACUGGAACUGAAACAUUCUUUAACAAAGGUGAAGGACUGGCUACGCAAAACGACUUCAAAAGUUAAAACUGGGAUAAUUUCCUGCUGAGAGAAUUCAAACAUGGAAAGACAUGACACUCUACUGGUUACAGAAGUUUGACAAACCAGUUUAUGUGCUUCUGUAUGAAAGACUUCGGCAAAAUAGUAUUUUAGAGAUGUACAAUUUAAUGAAGUUUUUGAAUAUUCAAAUAAAAUUUAAAUCAUUGUUUUGCAUUUCAUCAAACACAACUGGAAAUUAUCAUCGAAAAAAGGGUGAUUGGAUGGCAAAGGAAAUUUAUUUGAAACUAGUCAUCGAAAGCUUCUGAAUGAGAUAAUAAACUCGGUUGAAGAACAGCUCGGAAAUAUGAAACAUAUAUCAGCUGUAUUACAGUCCUACAUCUUACCGUUAACAGAUUAAAACUGCAUUUGUUUUAAAAUGAUGUACGAUGAUGCGGUAUAAAACAUGUAAUCAUGUUAAGCAGGGAGACAGUCGUUUAUAAAUUGAUUUGCAACGGUAGAACAUAUCAAAAAUAACUAAAACUUGAUUUAAACACGUCUGUCCACAACCAUCAGCGCCGGCUCAAGCGGAAUACUAUUACAGUAAAAAAGCAUCUCAAUGAUCAUUUAGAAUUAAGCAAAUGUAUCAGCACUGCGCCAAAGUAUCUUGAUACUUUUAAUUAGGAUAAUAUUCCUAGAGAUCAAAUACAUACUCUAUUGAAGUCAAAGUGCGUGUGGCAAACGAUCCAAAUGUUCAUUCUGAAACGAAUACUAUGUUGAUUAUAAUGCUUUGAAAUACUUUCAAUGUUUGUGUGAGGGGUGGUGGGUUGAGAGGGCGUACAAAUAUAUAAGUUCAAACAUGAAAAUGACUAACCCACACAUUGGGGUGUGAGAUAACGUUUAACUAUGUUCACCUUUGUGUUGCAUAUUCCAUAUUCUAACAAUGUAUUUUCCAUCGACCCAUGUCUAAAAACGUUGUUUUCCUUAUAAAUCGAAAUCAAAAUAUUCGUCUGCAAUUUCUGAUAAAGAUUUUCUGGCUCAUAAUAAAACGGAAUGCCCGGCCUUCUGCGAGCACCUUGCAAACAUCAGGUCACAGCGAGAACAUGAUAAUCAAUAGUGCGUACAAGUUUAGGUAUCACAUAGUGUACUUGUGUUUUAAAAAUAUAACCACGCCCCA